ACACAUCUAUCAAUACACGUUGGUUAUUCCUUGCCACUUUUCAAAGCACUAUGCAAACCCUUUUCUCAAAUCUCAAGGAGAUGCCAGAUCACAUAACCCACCUGCAUGGUGAUGAUGGUGUGGCGAGUAGUGGGUUACAGAUCUGUACUGACGAUAUAGAGCGUAUAUUGUAUACUGUGAUGUUGGUGACGGUGACGGUGGUUAAUGUGUGUGGCAGUGACAGUGGUUAUGGCGCGUGACAGUGAUGAUGUUGUCGUGGUGUGACGGUGGUGAUGGUCACUGUGGUGAGGGCGCCACUUCCGCCAUCGCCAAACCCUCUUGGUAAAAACGAAUACCUUAACAAAUUGAGCCGUUCUUCUAUGCUUUUUGGAGGUGUUUAAUCGUGUUUUCAUCUCGCCUUUGUGCUCGACUACUCAUGUUUAUUCCCGAUUUGCAAUACUAUAUAAUAUAAGCUUAAGUUAUUACAUGAGGUUAUUGGGUUUUACUUGGUUGAGAUAGAUUGAGUUUACUUUUGAUGAUCUUGGGCUUUAAAUGUUUUGGUGUAAACCCACUUAAAGCGUGACACGCUUUCAGUUAUCUUAUUUAUAUAUAAAUAGUGAAUGUAAGUUAUGAUUAGAAAAACAAUACUACUACAGUAGUUGAUGAA